rnacentral:rRNA from 1 species
AUUGAACGCUGUCGGCAGGCCUCCCACAUGCAAGUCGAACGAGUGGCGGACGGGUGAGUAAUGUCUGGGAACCUGCCUGAUGGAGGGGGAUAACUACUGGAAACGGUAGCUAAUACCGCAUACCAUCAGAUGUGCCCAGAUGGGAUUAGCUUGUUGGUGGGGUAACUGCUCACCAAGGCGACGAUCCCUAGCUGGUCUGAGAGGCUGACCAGCCACACGGUAACUGUGACACGGUCCAGACUCCUACGGGAGGCACCAGUGGGGAAUAUUGAACAAUGGGCGCAAGCCUGAUGCAGCCAUGCCGCGUGUAUGAAGAAGGCCUUCGGGUUGUAAAGUAAUUUCAGCGGGGAGGCGUUACCCGCAGAAGAAGAACCGGCUAACUCCUUGCCAGCCGCCGCGGUAAUUC